CGUUGCCAACCUGGUCCUUGCCUAUGAUGAGUUGCGCUGGCAGCGCGCACUCUACACCCGCGUCUUCAUGCCCUCCGCCAGCUCCUUGUGCGCGGAAGCUUCCCUCGCCCUUGAUGUGCUACUGGCGUUCCAAGAUACCCAGCGGUACACCGACGACCUCCUCGGCUGCUGCAACCCCUUCCUUCCCCACCUGCUGCUGCAA
rnacentral:lncRNA from 1 species